rnacentral:rRNA from 1 species
CCUACGGGUGGCUGCAGUGGGGAAUAUUGGACAAUGGGCGAAAGCCUGAUCCAGCCAUGCCGCGUGUGUGAAGAAGGCCUUCGGGUUGUAAAGCACUUUCAGUGGGGAAGAAAGCCUUGGGGCUAAUACCCUCGAGGAAGGACAUCACCCACAGAAGAAGCACCGGCUAACUCCGUGCCAGCAGCCGCGGUAAUACGGAGGGUGCGAGCGUUAAUCGGAAUUACUGGGCGUAAAGCGCGCGUAGGCGGUCUGAUAAGCCGGUUGUGAAAGCCCCGGGCUCAACCUGGGAACGGCAUCCGGAACUGUCAGGCUAGAGUGCAGGAGAGGAAGGUAGAAUUCCCGGUGUAGCGGUGAAAUGCGUAGAGAUCGGGAGGAAUACCAGUGGCGAAGGCGGCCUUCUGGACUGACACUGACGCUGAGGUGCGAAAGCGUGGGUAGCAAACAGGAUUAGAUCCCCGAGUAGUC